rnacentral:rRNA from 1 species
AGCAGCCGCGGUAAUUCCAGCUCCAAUAGCGUAUAUUAAAGUUGUUGCAGUUAAAAAGCUCGUAGUUGAAUUUCGGGAUCAAUAUUUCGGUCAUGUCGUUGGUAUGCACUGUUAUCAUUGAUUUCUCACCUUCUAAAGAACCGUGAUGCCAUUAAUUUGGUGUUACGGGGAAUUAGGACUGUUACCUUGAAAAAAUUAGAGUGUUUAAAGCAGGCUCACGCUUGAAUACAUUAGCAUGGAAUAAUGAAAUAGGACAUCCGAUUCUAUUUUGUUGGUUUCUAGGAUCGAUGUAAUGAUUAAUAGGGAUAGUUGGGGGCAUUAGUAUUCAAUUGUCAGAGGUGAAAUUCUUGGAUUUAUUGAAGACUAACUACUGCGAAAGCAUUUGCCAAGGAUGUUUUCAUUAAUCAAGAACGAAAGUUAGGGGAUCGAAGACGAUCAGAUACCGUCGUA